UACAGGAACAGUCUCCACGGUGUGUUU
rnacentral:piRNA from 1 species